rnacentral:lncRNA from 1 species
UUAUAAUAUAUUAAUAAACCAUAGUGUUAUUUCUCUCAUUUUAGUUUAUCCAAUUUCAUGGUGCCAUGCAACCCAAAUGGACCAUGUCGGGUCGAGUCAAGUACAUACCAGAAAUAGUUAUGGACUUAGACACCUUAUCCAACAAAAUCUUGUAUCACUUUUCUUAUUUCCGUUGUUUUACAUGCAAGGUAAAACUCUUACAAGUAGUAAUACUAUGGGGGCAAGAGAAGUGAACCAAUACAUAGCUUUUUCUUUUAAAGUGAACGGAAAUAAGUGAAGUCUAAAGGAAUCUUUAUUAGUUCCUUGCGGAGUAUUCGCAUUAGCAAUUACAAGGAACUUAUAGAGGUGAUUGUAUGGAUCAUCAGUUUUAUGGCGUCUAAAGACGGGUAAGACACUAAUUAGUUGUGGCCUUACUUCCACAUGAUGCUCGUUUCCUUCCACGAAGAGUAUAGGUGAAGCAUCAUCAUACUCUCCCGGCUGAAAAUGAGACGCAACGGAUUGUUUAUUAGGCUGCGGAAAGUAAAGAUGAGGGAAUUGGUUACCUUCAUUGUAACAUCCUCCAUUUACAUUGUUGAAUCCACCAUUUGGAUUCCUUCGGUAUUGAUUCCUAAAGCCUUGAUUCCCGAACCCAUCGUUGUAGUCAUUGUUGCCUCCAUUGAGGAAAUUCUGGUUGUUCCAGUUAUUGUUGUAGUUCCUGUUCCACCCCGAUUUCCUUGAUUCCGCCUGUUACCACCGUUGUGGUUCUGAUUCCAACCAAUUCCAUUGUCACUUCCAUCAUCAAAGUCCCAGUCACCCUCGUUACCACCAUUACCACCAUUACUGAAUUGAGGACCAACAUUUCUAGGAUUUUGGUUCUGAUUUCUAGUAUUACCACCAUUGUGGUUUCCUACAUUGCCUCCCAUAUUUUGUGCCCAAUUUCCUCCGUUCCCACCAUUUUGGCCACGGUUGUUUCUAUUUGGUUGUGGUCGUACUGGUUGGAUGAUUGGUGCACCGACA